CUCUUCGGAGUUAGUGGCGGACGGGUGAGUAACACGUGGGAACGUGCCUUUAGGUUCGGAAUAACUCAGGGAAACUUGUGCUAAUACCGAAUGUGCCCUUCGGGGGAAAGAUUUAUCGCCUUUAGAGCGGCCCGCGUCUGAUUAGCUAGUUGGUGAGGUAAUGGCUCACCAAGGCGACGAUCAGUAGCUGGUCUGAGAGGAUGACCAGCCACAUUGGGACUGAGACACGGCCCAAACUCCUACGGGAGGCAGCAGUGGGGAAUCUUGCGCAAUGGGCGAAAGCCUGACGCAGCCAUGCCGCGUGAAUGAUGAAGGUCUUAGGAUUGUAAAAUUCUUUCACCGGGGACGAUAAUGACGGUACCCGGAGAAGAAGCCCCGGCUAACUUCGUGCCAGCAGCCGCGGUAAUACGAAGGGGGCUAGCGUUGCUCGGAAUUACUGGGCGUAAAGGGCGCGUAGGCGGACAUUUAAGUCAGGGGUGAAACCCCAGAGCUCAACUCUGGAACUGCCUUUGAUACUGGGUGUCUUGAGUGUGAGAGAGGUAUGUGGAACUCCGAGUGUAGAGGUGAAAUUCGUAGAUAUUCGGAAGAACACCAGUGGCGAAGGCGACAUACUGGCUCAUUACUGACGCUGAGGCGCGAAAGCGUGGGGAGCAAACAGGAUUAGAUACCCUGGUAGUCCACGCCGUAAACGAUGAUUGCUAGUUGUCGGGGAGUUUACUUCUCGGUGACGCAGCUAACGCAUUAAGCAAUCCGCCUGGGGGAGUACG
rnacentral:rRNA from 1 species